AACAAUCAGUCGUUUUAGGGGAUAAAAAUACAAGAAGAUCACUUCACCAUCUCAUAAAUGUCCAACUCCCCCGCCCCCAAAACGCUCAAGCAGCUCCAAAGUUCUUCUCAUAGCUCAUACCUUUGCCUACUCAACUCCAAUUUCUUUCAAUCCACUUGCUCUUCUCCAAAUUCCAACCACCCCCAUUUAUCAACCCCACUCCUUUAGACUUCGGAACCCCAUUUAAGCCGCCACUUUCUGGAUUGAAAAUAAAACAAACGCAUUAGCAAUGUGGACGAUGGAAGUUUAAAUGAUGGUGAGAAUAGAGAAAAGAUCUAAGUCAAUUUCAUUUCAUCUUGAUCAUUUUUAUCAAAAUUCAACUCCUUAUACCUUAAGUGUGCAUUUGUGAGCAGGGGCGGAUGCAGUGCAGGACCACUGGGGGCUCAAGCCCCCACUGAAAAAAAUAAUAUUUUUUUGUUUAAAAGAAAAUUUAAAAUUUAA
rnacentral:lncRNA from 1 species